rnacentral:rRNA from 1 species
UACGAAGGGUGCAAACGUUGCUCGGAAUUAUUGGGCGUAAAGCGCACGUAGGCGGCUCUAUAAGUCGGAUGUGAAAUCCCUCGGCUCAACCAAGGAAGUGCAUUCGAAACUGUAGAGCUUGAGUAGUUAAGAGGAUCGCGGAAUUCCCGGUGUAGAGGUGAAAUUCGUAGAUAUCGGGAGGAACACCAGUGGCGAAGGCGGCGAUCUGGGAACAUACUGACGCUGAGGUGCGAAAGCGUGGGGAGCAAACAGG